rnacentral:tRNA from 1 species
UGCCCUAUAGUGUAAAGGCAGCACACAAGGUUUUGAGCCUUGGGUUAUAGGUUCGAUCCCUCUUAGGGCAA